rnacentral:rRNA from 1 species
UACGUAGGGUGCGAGCGUUAAUCGGAAUUACUGGGCGUAAAGCGUGCGCAGGCGGUUUUGUAAGCCAGAUGUGAAAGCCCCGGGCUUAACCUGGGAAUGGCAUUUGGGACUGCAAGGCUGGAGUGUGGCAGAGGAGACUGGAAUUCCUGGUGUAGCAGUGAAAUGCGUAGAUAUCAGGAGGAAUACCGAUGGCGAAGGCAGGUCUCUGGGCUGACACUGACGCUCAUGCACGAAAGCGUGGGGAGCAAACAGGAUAGAAACCGUGUGAGAUCCAGAC